rnacentral:rRNA from 3 species
CCCGCUGAGUUUAAGCAUAUCAAUAAGCGGAGGAAAAGAAACUAACAAGGAUUCCCCUAGUAACGGCGAGCGAACC